AUGAUUAUAUUUCCAUGUUCCUCAUCUAUUGUUCCUCAUCAGGAACCCUGCUGGUUUUGUUCCUUUUUGCAUGUAGGAAGGCUAGGUUUUUGUAAAGGUGUUGUGGCUUCUUAUUCGUUUAGUACUCUAGCUAGGUUCCAAGGAAGGGGCUCUUUGGAGCUACCUUAUUGUGAUAUCUAUUUUCCAAGUGCUGCUAUGCUCGAUGUCGAGUAUAGCAGGCGCAUGAUUGAGCUCCGGGGAGGCCUGCACACGCACUUGCUGGAUGAUGACCUUAGGGCCAUCAUCGACAAUACCUACUUGAUGCGUUUAUAG
rnacentral:rRNA from 1 species